UAACUAAGAAUUAAUCCUUUGUAGCAUAUAUACACACAUAUAAAUAUAUGUAAUGAGUCUAUGUUAAAUGUUUAUCAUGCUUAUUAUUUAUUACAACAAUAGCUAAAGCUGAAAUACUGUAAAGUAAAAUAGAUUUUUGAAACAUUGAAUUAACUAACAUUGAUAACAGGUCUUUGGUUUAAGUGUGAAAAGCCAAAUAAAAAAAAUAAUAAUUAUUAGUCAAUUGCUGAAUUCAAACCUAAUUUUUUUUACAUGUUUUUAAAGUCUCUAAGUCUAAUUAAUCCUAAGAACCUAGAAACUAGAUAUGGUGGCAGGAUGGGGAGAUACUUUUCCAAAUUUACUAAUUUCAUCUAUUCAAAUUGACUUAAAUACUGGGUAACUUUUAACACAUGUAUCUACCCUAGAACUAAAGUUCAUUCACUUACCCUCCUUAUUCAGUAGACAUUUUUGCCUGUAGUAACAUCUCUAGUUAAUUAGUCAAAUAAUUUAUUAGGUCUUGUCCUAAGUAAUUUCCCUUCUCUUAAUUAUCUUUGAAUGCUUAUGAAUCAGUUGUUGUUAUUCUGUCUUGAAGUUUCUUAAGUUUAACAAAACAUGCUAAAUUUCAGUAGUGACCACUCUCCUCACAUUUAUUAAACUACUACAGUAUACUGUAUUAAAUUUUGUUGUUUGUUCCUGUAAGUCCUUAUACCAUAGACCUGCAGAGUCUAAAAGAGAGGCUGUAAUUCAAGAAGCUUCUAUCUUCUGCUCUUUCCCAAACCCAAGGUUCUUACCAUGUGUCUGUCCCUCUGUUAUUUCUGUAUCUUAUUCAAUUUGAACAUGGCACAAUUUUUAUCCACUUUUUACUCAAAUGCUCAUUUUUGUACUUCCCUUUGAGAAUUGCAAUGAUACUGCACUUAUGCUAAAUUUGUAAAUUUUGACCUAUGACAAGGCAGUAGAGAGAGCCAAGAGAUACUGCAAGGUGAGAGAGAGAGAGUGUGUGUGUAUGUGUUUAUACAUGAACUUUUUGUCAGCGGCUGCUUGAUACUUCUAAUGCCAAAGUCUAUCAGUCCUUUCUUCAUUCUGCAUUCCAGUAAAUAAAUGGUAGAUGUUUAUUGAUUUUAAAAAAUCCUUCAUCCAUUCCAUGUACAGGAAUGGUAUCUGGUUGCCCAAAUAAGAGUACCAGGAACUGGGGAAGGGGAAAGAAGGAUAAACUUUGAUCCUGGGGUAGACUUGUUAAAAGAUAUGUGGAAUUACAUUCUUUGGCUGAAAUGAGAGAAUCAUUUCAUUUGAGAAAGGAAGUUUUGGGGACAGUGCCCUAGGGAACUGGUAAUGAAAUAACGCUUCUAGUUUUGAUACUAUUUCCCCACUGCUCCACCAACUUGGCUGAACAUCACUAAUCUUAGCUAAGCUAUAUAGCAAUGACCAAAAUUUCCAUUUGCUCUUCCUCGUAAAGUGCAGGAGAGAACCAUCUCGUAAUUCUCAGGCUGUUCUCUGUGGUUGGGGAGUAGGUUUGAUGUAGAAGCUGAUCAGUACCUUGCCAACUGAAAGUAAGGGUUAAGUUUAAUGUGCUAUUUCCCAAAUUGAAAUUUUCCAUUUUGAUUCUGUGUCAGAGUCUACUAUGGAAAGAAUUAAGAAGAGUAGAUGGGCAUGAAUAGGACUGGGGGGAUAUGGAUGUAUAUUACCUAUUUUGAAGUCAGUUUCACUGGGAUAUAUUUUAAUGCUAGCCUGCACUUUCCUCAUCUUGUUAAUAGGCAUAAUUUUAUUGGUACUUCAUUUUCCAUUUCCAUUUCAAAAUGUUCUCAUGAGUUUAAAAAUGGAUUUUACCAUAAUGUAAAUACAGACCUUUGGAUAAGCACCAACCUCUAAGAGUGAGAUACCAAGAGAUUUGUUUAUUUUUUCUAAAGAAAUAAAUUUUCCUGAACAUAGUCAAGAUACCAAUCUGAACUCUUUUAUUAGCUUUGAAAAAAAUUAUAAGCCGUAAUGUACAAGGUCUCUGUCCAUUUUGACUAAUGUGCCACAAAAAGCAAAUUGAGAGUCUUGAACCCAAAAUAUAUAGUAACUGGAAAUGUAAAAUGUGGCGAUUCCUAAAAUAUUAGCAGGGCUUAUAUGUUGCAGCUGGCAGGUUUGCCAGCCAAAAAUCGUUCCCAGUAAGAAACCGAGUAACCAGCCAUCCAGAUCUCUAUGUGUCAGGCUCUUCUUCAGGGAAACUUAAGUUUAAAAAAAUCAUCUUGGUUAAAGGAAAAAUGUAAAAUGAGGCCUUGGUGGAAUUAAAAAAGGAAAAAUGGCUUAAUUAAAGACCACCGUUGUGUCCUCAUUUGGGGUUCUUUUUUCUUUCCACUUACUCUCAUGACAUAAUAAAGAAAGAGCACAGGAAGGGACUUAACUGAGAGCCAGAAUCCUAGAGUCAGUCCUAGGUCCAAAUCCCUACUCUGCCACUUAAUUAUUGUGACUGGGCAAGUCACUAAACCUCUCUGAGUCCACAUAAAGGCAUAAAAGGAGCACCUAUCACAUGGCGUUGCUGUGAAGACUAAAUGAGAAAAUACAUGUAAACUACCUCUUCUUAUACUGGGCACGUAGAAGGUUUUCAAUAAAUGCUAGUUAUUAUACUGUAUCAUCUAGUCCCUCUGCUUUACCAGUGACAAAAAGGAGAUUCUGAAGAGUUGAGACACAGGUGCCCAAGUUUAUCCCAACCGGUUGAUGGUAGCUCUGGAAUUAGAGGCUGGUGCCCCUGACUCUUAGUCAGAGAGCUUUUCAUAUCUGCAUUCUAGACAUGAACAAUGGCACAUUUCUCUACUCACUUUUUUUUUUUAGACAUAGGAGACAGAUCCUUUAAUUCACUCAACCCUAAUUUAUCCCUUCUAGUGUCUCCCAUAGCACUAGGGGCACAUAUGAACAGUUUUCCUACGUGGUAUGAUUUUGGGCACUUGUGACUUUCCUGUCCCCAUAAAACUCACACAUAUGCAUUCAUUCAGCAUUUAUUUAUUGUGCAUCCACUGUGUGGCAGCCACAAGGCACACAACUGCAAACAAAACACAUCCUAAAAAGUAUCUGCCUUCAUAGAGCUUACAUCCAUCCUGGCAGGAGGAGGUGAGCCGACAGUUGGCCAACAGGAUAAUUACAGGUGGAGUUAGUGCCGCAAGGAGAGAGCAGGGUGAUGCGGGCGUAACUGGAGGCGGCCGCUGCAGAGGUGGACAGGGAGGGCUUUCUGAGGAGCUGACAUUUGAGCCGAACCUGAAGCAUGCGAUGUGGCCAGCAGUGCCAAGUGCUAGAAACAGGCUUCUCUCCCUUUGCAUAAGGCCUUGAGAGCCCCGCUUAUCUCUAAGGAUUAACCUUGAAGCUGUCAUCCAUCAUUUGUUCCUUAAACUGCAAAGGCUUAGAGAAGGCAGACGUGAAAGACGCUGAGGCCCCCAGGGAGAACUAGCACCACUGAGUGCACAACAAAGCUCAGAAGCAGGAGGCGGGGGACACGCCCAACAAAAUGUGUCCCCCACAGGACUUUGCCUAGUGACAGCAUGUUCAUUUUGAUUGCCAUACACUUUUGGGCUAUAUCGUAAGCACCUAAUUCUGUGCAGUGGGUUAACAGGUGACCACCCACGGUGGUACCAGCAGCACCCCCAUCCCCUGAAAGGUUGACCCGGGGCCAUACUGGGUGGAGGCGGCUUGGUCAUGACUGAAAAUGACUUGGGAUCAUGGGAGAGAGCUAAGGUCAGGGUGAGAGGGAAUGAGGCCAAGUAGGGCUGGGAAAGUCAACAGAAGGCAUAUGGUUAAGCAGGAGAGAUGUGCUGGGAGCCAAGUGGGCGGGUGGGGUGCUGAGCAGAAGUUGGUGCCCUGAGGAGACCAGCCAAGCCCUGUGGCAUGGGAACGCACUCUGGGUCAUUGGAAUUAUUUUCAGAGCAUGGAUGAAGCCACCCACUGCUAGAAACAGAUGGACAUUUAGGCAAAUGUAAUCAGCUGCAUUUCUGACCAUAUGAAGAAACGUAUGCCCCUGAGGUUUAUGGCCUCAGCAUUUUCCUCUGGUUGGAUGCACUUAAGUUUCAUUCAUAUCCAUGUACGUUAGAAAUGCCUCAGAGACCUUUUUCAGAAUUCCAGAAUUUCUUCAUUCCUUGGAUAACAGCCAAGUUUCCAAUUCAUGUCCUGGGCUGUAGCUAUUGACUUGUCAAUUGAGUUUAAAAAUCAAAACAAAAACAAAAUUGUACAUAUAUAUGCUGGUUUGAAAGUUUCAGCUUAUUUAUCUAUUUUUUUUCAUUUAGGUACAAUAUGGUAGGUAGCCAAACUAAGAACUAUAUGCAAGGAGCCACCUAGUGAACAGAACUUAAUGAGGUUAAUGCAGAUAAUAUGAGGCUGUUAAAAAUAGGGGUCAAUUUUCAAGGCAACUUCUGGAAUCUCCUCUUGCAGGCAGUUGGAGAAAUUUGUGCAUUUUAGUCACAUUCUAUUUUAAAGUGGAACACAGUCAUUUCUGUACUGUCUCUCUAGGGAGAUUUCAUCUUAUGGAGGUUUGUCUUUCAAAGAAUCCCCUCUUUGGUUCCCUCUCUCCUCCAUCCUGAUCUCCCACCUUAAACAAAUACUUUCCCCCUGCCCCACAUUUCAGGUCACAAGUAAAGAGAAAGUGAUGAAUCGAGAAUGAUCCAGCCGUAGUCUUUCCCUUGGUGAAAUGUUUAAAUCCUACCCCUGGAGGCAUUGAGUCUAGAGAAUGAAUUAUGCGCAGAUGAAAAGCAGGGAAGUUUCUGGUUCAGGGGACACAUUUACUCCGCCACUCCCUAUGGAAGCCCAGUUCAUUAUUAGGGCCGGCCAUGGGAGAUUUAACAUCAGCCUUUUGUUAGGAGGGAGCCUUGGAAGGAGACACGCAGGCAGAAGCUGUCUGUUGUUACGAGGCUUUUCCUCGGAAAAGGAGGACGACAUUCACACAUUUGCGUGAAGGUCUGCGGGCUGGGACUGAAUCUUCGUCCCCCCUCAGGUGGAUAACACGUAUGCUAAUGCAGAAGUGGUCUUUGACAACCGCUUUUGAGGUGUCUGCCUUUUGCUCAGUACUUAAUCUGUGAGUAUCAAUGUACUUUUUUUCUUCUAAGCAUUUACAGGUUAUUUUAGAAAGCCGCUGCUUAUAACAGAAGAAAGUGUUCAUUAUUAUAUCAAGGAUUGGUAAAUCUCUUUUUAAACUCUUAUAAUAUUUAUGGAUACUUAGAAGUGUUUACAAAAUGGCUAUGUGUGUUAGAAUAUCUCAAAAUAUUCUUUCUUUCUGAGUAAAAAUCUGCGUUUCCAAGUGCAUUUGAAAUAGCGAGCCCCGCUUCACCUGGUAUUCAAGAACAGGCUGAUUUUGACAGUCCUAAAACCUUUAACCAAAGAACACUCUGUGAUGCGGGAAUUAAUAGUGUGGCCUUGAUCUGAAACGAGUGUAAGUCCAGCGAUCGGUAAAGAAAGGAGUUUUUAGGGAUCCCAGGUUCUUCACUUGCCUUGGCGUGUAUAGAGACACUUUUGAAAGGAGCUCUGUCUAACACCUGGUCAGUUGGACAUGGCUUCCAGUCAGGCACUGAUAUUUCUAAACAUUACUUAAGAAACCGCUUGGGUUAUAAGGCCUUCAGAAAUCAUUCUGUGCCCAGCCAAGCUCAAAGAAAUAAGUUUCUCAAGUGAAAGAAAAAUACAGUUUUUCUUUGUAUCUCUUUUCCAGUCUGCUCUUUGUUUCAUUCAUGUGAAACUGGGUGAAGAGUACACUAUAUGUAUUUAUUCUAAACUGUUGGUGGUGGAUUACUUCUCCCAGUGAUGGAGGAAUAUGUUGAAAACAGAGAUUGUUAUGAGAGAGAAGAAAGACAGUCACAAAUAUGGGUAUAGUUGUCAGUGCAAAGUGUGUGAACACAGUAUAUUGGCAUGAGAUGGGUUGAAUUUUCAGAACAUUCGCUAUUGAACAUGAAGUUUCUAAUUGAAUAUGGAUGUCUUUAGGGAGUGGCAUCAAUAAAGAACCUUUAAAAGAUCCAAAAGGUCUUUUAAAAAUUUAGCUUCAAAGUGGGUUUGGGGUAAAUUUAAGUCAAAUGGGGCCUCCUUACAGAGCAACAGACAGUAGCCAACCCCUUAUGGAGGGCUAUUUUGCAGAUAACCAUGUCUAAACUCAGGAAGCUUCAUGAACUCAGACUUUAGUUUAAAAAAAAAAAAA